GGAGGUGUAGCUCAGCGGUAGAGUGCCUGCUUAGCAUGCAGAACAGCCUGGGUUCCAUCUCCAGCAUCCCUU
rnacentral:tRNA from 2 species